GUUGGACUAUGUUCCUUCUUGUUGACACUAUUGUCCUAUAUCCAAAUUAUCUCCACCAUCUUAAAAAUACGCUCAACCGAAGGGAGACACAAAGCUUUCUCCACCUGUGCGUCUCAUCUCGCUGUGGUCUCUCUCUACUAUGGGGCCAUUGUCUUCAUGUAUCUUCGACCUCGAUACAGUUACUCUCCUGAGAAGGACAGAGCUGUCUCCAUACUGUACACGGUGGUGACUCCAAU